ensembl:lncRNA
CUCCGUCCUCCUGUUUUCGUGGGAGGAAUUUGUCAUUUUUGGAGCAGUUUAUGGUGGGGUUGGUGAGGCUGCUCGGAGGGAGCUGGGGCCGUUGGUUGAAAGGCAGCAGGGGGAGCAUCGUUCUGAGCAGCUCUGAUGGGACCCAGCACUUGUCUUAAACGGGCACAGCAAAGCCAGGGGCAAAAGAGACUUUUGUCAGCCUUCUUAACGAGGCAGAAUUGCCUCACUUCCUCAGAUAUGGAAAUGCCUCUUUGUUAAAGCAAGGCCCCGUCCCUUAUCUCUGGGUUUGGACAGCUCUGCUUUUGGCACUUUGCUGUGUGAAAGGACUCCACGCACCUCAACGUGCACACAAAGCCAGGAUCCAACGGGGGAAAAGUUUGCAACUCAGGAUUGGCUCCGAGCAGAGCAGGAGUGACCCCAUAUGGGGACACUGCAGGGCUCCUUCAGGACGGAGCUGCCUGGAGCACCUCUAUAUAUGGGGGGGAAACCCACAGAAGUCUGAUGGAUCCCCCGCAAGUUCCCUUCUGUUGUGUUGAAUGUGAAUGUUGCUGCUGCCAUUUUGAGGAUAAAUGGGCAUUUUCCCAUGGAACAGCCAAACUG